ACGUAUGUCGCAAGCGUUAUCCGGAUUUAUUGGGCGUAAAGCGCGUCUAGGCGGUUUGGUAAGUCUGAUGUGAAAAUGCGGGGCUCAACUCCGUAUUGCGUUGGAAACUGCCAAACUAGAGUACUGGAGAGGUGGGCGGAACUACAAGUGUAGAGGUGAAAUUCGUAGAUAUUUGUAGGAAUGCCGAUGGAGAAGUCAGCUCACUGGACAGAUACUGACGCUGAAGCGCGAAAGCGUGGGGAGCAAACAGGAUUAGAUACCCUGGUAGUCCACGCCGUAAACGAUGAUCACUAGGUGUUGGGGGUCGAACCUCAGCGCCCAAGCUAACGCGAUAAGUGAUCCGCCUGGGGAGUACGCACGCAAGUGUG
rnacentral:rRNA from 1 species